GGCGGCGAGCGGCGGACGGGUGAGGAAUGCGUCGGAAUCUGCCCAGUCGUGGGGGAUAACGUAGGGAAACUUACGCUAAUACCGCAUGCGCCCUAAGGGGGAAAGCGGGGGACCGAAAGGCCUCGCGCGAUUGGAUGAGCCGACGCCGGAUUAGCUAGUUGGUGGGGUAAAGGCCCACCAAGGCGACGAUCCGUAGCUGGUCUGAGAGGAUGAUCAGCCACACUGGGACUGAGACACGGCCCAGACUCCUACGGGAGGCAGCAGUGGGGAAUAUUGGACAAUGGGCGCAAGCCUGAUCCAGCCAUGCCGCGUGUGUGAAGAAGGCCUUCGGGUUGUAAAGCACUUUUGUCCGGGAAGAAAACCCCGGGGCUAAUACCCACGGGGAAUGACGGUACCGGAAGAAUAAGCACCGGCUAACUUCGUGCCAGCAGCCGCGGUAAUACGAAGGGUGCAAGCGUUACUCGGAAUUACUGGGCGUAAAGCGUGCGUAGGCGGUUUGUUAAGUCAGAUGUGAAAGCCCCGGGCUCAACCUGGGAACUGCAUUUGAUACUGGCGAGCUAGAGUACGGUAGAGGGUGGUGGAAUUCCCGGUGUAGCGGUGAAAUGCGUAGAGAUCGGGAGGAACAUCUGUGGCGAAGGCGGC
rnacentral:rRNA from 1 species